rnacentral:tRNA from 1 species
GGGUUUGUGUCUCAGUGUAGAGUGCUCGCCUAGCAUGUGAGAGGCACUGGGUUCGAUCCUCAGCUCCA